rnacentral:rRNA from 1 species
UACAGAGGUCUCAAGCGUUGUUCGGAUUCAUUGGGCGUAAAGGGUGCGUAGGCGGCGCGGUAAGUCGGGUGUGAAAUCUCGGGGCUUAACUCCGAAACUGCAUUCGAUACUGCCGUGCUUGAGGACUGGAGAGGAGACUGGAAUUUACGGUGUAGCGGUGAAAUGCGUAGAUAUCGUGAGGAAGACCAGUGGCGAAGGCGGAUCUCUGGAGAGUUCCUGACGCUGAGGCACGAAGGCCAGGGGAGCAAACGGG